UACGAAGGGGGCAAGCGUUGUUCGGAAUUACUGGGCGUAAAGGGCGCGCAGGCGGCUGAUCAAGUCAGAUGUGAAAGCCCCGGGCUCAACCUGGGAAUAGCAUUUGGGACUGGUCGGCUAGAGUUCGGGAGAGGAGAGUGGAAUUCCCAGUGUAGAGGUGAAAUUCGUAGAUAUUGGGAAGAACACCGGUGGCGAAGGCGGCUCUCUGGACCGAUA
rnacentral:rRNA from 1 species